AUUGUUUAGUUCUCUGUAAGCUACAUGUGAAGAAGUACGUCCACUGCCAUCUGCUUUGUGUUUACGCCAUCGACACCACCGUCUGCCCCCUAAUUUGUGUGUUAAACCGGUGACACUGAUGGACGCUCCAGCCCAGUAGGUGGCGGUAAUGAACCCAAAGUCUGUUUGCCAGUCAUGAAGAAGAUGCACAGGACUCACUGAGGGAUGUCAGUGCCCAAGAAAGUUUGUGUCACGCCCUCCACUUCAGCUGCCAGGUAGUGUGAAAUUCCCCUCCUCCCUCCUCUCUUCCUCUCCUAGGUGAGCGCGGCGUGUGACAUGUGGACAGGUGCUGCCAAUCAUAAUCAGAAGAGUUGGCAGGUGAGCAGGUGGGAGAGAUCACCACAUUACCUCCUUUUCCCAAAAAAGCCAGACGCUGCGACAACUCGUCGCCUGAUCGUGAACUACUCCAGUUGGAUUCCUGUUUUCUCUCCCUUUCUUACUUGGAUCUCCCUAGAUCACCACAGACUUCGGUCAGCCACCACGGCACCAGCCAAGAAGACAACCUCUGUUAGUCCUCACGCCAACCUCUGCAGCACUUGUCUGGACUCUGAUCAACGUACCAGACCACAUGCCACCUCACCCGCUCUGUCCUCCCGUCACCACUUCUCAGCCUCGGACAGUUAAGUUCCCUGCCCACUCAAUGAGCCUGUUCAAUUUUGUGUAUUCCUGUUCCUAGAGUGCCUAGUUACUUUCUGUGUUUCCAGCGUUUGUGGUACUUUUGCGUUUGUUAAUCUUGUACCCAUUGUUUAGGUCGCUUUCCUGCCUUGGAAGUACUAAGUUUGGAUCAGUUUUGCUAAUCUGUUCUUGAGGAUUGAGUCUGGUUAGAGUUAACCUCUGGUCCUUCAGGGAGCCCUGUUCUGUUCUAGCGCUCAGUAUUUUACCAUCCUGUUUUGGGGGCUUCUCGUAUGUCAUACCCUGUUGUAGUUUUUGUGUAUUCUGUAAUAAAUAAGUGUGUACUCCAAGCACCAGUCUGUGACAUCUCUGUUGCUCUGUAUCUGAGUGUCUGUCUUCAGUAUCGUAACAGUUUGGUGAACAAUGAAGGAAGACAAGGACGCACUGAGCUUGUUGGGCGGAAAGUUUUCUUUUAAAAAUCUUCCUGAUGGCACCUGGAUAAAAGUGUGGUUGUGUGCAAAUUGUGCAACAAAGAAUUUUCAUAUCACCGCAGCACUUCGCAAUAUCUACUUUAUGCAAAUGAGCUCCAGAGAGAUGCGUCGCAACACAGCUCGAAAUGUGCGGCAACGUAACCAACAUGCAACGCAGUGCAUUUCACAUAGACAAUGAAUGGGAUGCGAGAAAUUGAUCGAUCCUGUGGACACAUACCUUGUUAGCUAUGAUAAUCUUGGUAAUGGCAAAUGGUGUAGCCAGCCCACAAUAGACAACCUUUCAAGACAGUUACAGUACAAAAAGUCUUCAAAUAUAAUUGCUAUAAUUGCACUUUAAGUUUGCAGUAAUCUGUGAAUGUAGUAGACAGAUGAAAAAUGCACAGAUAAAUGUAAAAGAGACAAAUAUUUUUGUUGGUUAGUUUCACGUAUAUGUCUAUUUAUUGAGUCAGUCAACCAAAAUUUAUUUGAAUUGAAAAACUUUGCUUAUUGUGUCAAAUAUUACUAUUUGAAAAAAAUUCGAGUAAUCGCAAUAAAUUAAUUACAAACCUCUAAUUAAUUAGAAGCAUUUUUUAAAAUUGCGUCCCACGAUUACAUCUCAUGGUUGACAAUCACCGUGUAUAAAUGACACAUAACUUUGCUUGAUUUAUUAUAGGAAUGUUUGUUUGAUUCUCCUCUUUUGGAAACAAGUAGUUGAAAGUAUUGUGGAGUGGUUGUGUCUGCUAUUGUCAGAAUCUGACCUGCCGUGCUGACUAGUGACUUGCACUGGAGGCUUUAUUGCUGCUUCAAGAACUGUUCUCCUUCAUUGAUCAAAAGCCCAACAAGAGCCAGACAAAACUAAAGUUUGUUAAAUGCUUAACCUUAAUCUGAGGUGCAGUUCACCUCCUGAAAACUGAAAAACAAAGGUCAGAAUGGAGAUGGAGAUUCACAACAAGCUGGAGGUGUUUACAGUGAAGGUUGGAGAACUUCUCCAAAGAAGAUAUAGUUUGCUGUCUUUGUGUUGAAGACUUCAGGCAGUCAACUUUCAUAGAACAGUUACUAUGAUGAUUUUGUUUGAGUUCAUGUGUAUUCAUCUGAUUUCUUAUUAACACCUAAACUUUGGGAGACUGCAGUGGCUGGGUGGUUAGCACUUGCACCUUGCAGCUAGAAGAUCCCUGGUUUGUGCCCUGGCGUUCCUGGAAUUGUCCCUUCCUUGGUUCAGGCUGUCUGUCAUCUCACACACACUACAUGAGAACAGGAUGAAAAAAACAGCAUUCUAGCUUAGGCUUUUUAAAAGGUGUCCACAUUCUCCUGCAAACAUCCCACAGUUCGUUUGUUGAGAUUUAAACAGAUUGAACGUUAAAUCUUGACCCUCUUUAGUUUCCUGUUGUCCACUUUCUUGUCACUUUUGAGUUAGCGAGCUGUGCUGUGUGAAUUAGAGAUGGAUCAGGUCAUAGAUCCUGAAGCAAGGAGGCCGACAGGCCUGUCGGGGCUGGAUAAUGGUCCUUUAGAGAAGGAUUGAAGGGCUGAUUGAUUUCACUUCAGUCAGAGGCUGGCGUGUUAGGCUGAGCGCCGCCAGACACUUCAUCAGGAUUCACAGAGGAAAAAGAGGAAGGAUGAAGAUGGGAGGUUGAGGGCCUGACAGCAAUACAAAUGUCACUCAGCCUGACUUGCUCAGUGACAGAAAGCAAAUUAAAGGCCUGUACUGUAAAUACAAAUCUGUCUAAGAGCUGACACUAUCAGCACGCUGCAGCUUUAACACAUCAGAGAGGCUGAAGUUUAUUUCCUCCACAACUUGAUACAAAAAACUUGUCUGAAGGUCUGAUGCGAGAGACUUUAAACAUUUCCUUCUCUAUUCAUCUGAUGGCUGGAGGUACUGGCUACUUUAGUGAUUUAAAUUUUAAUGUGACAUGAGUUAAAUGACCCACAAUUGUUAACUAAAACUCUGAAAAACAGCCUCUUAGCUCAAAAACACAAUAACUUUGAGAUAUUUCAAAUAUUUUGAGAGAUUUUUUUUAGCAUCAUCUGAAUAUAGUCAUAUUUCAGACCUUUAACAAAAUAAUUUUUGUGUAGGCACUAAGCAUCAGAUUAAAAUUUUAAAUCAAUUGUUAUACAUGCCCACACAGAAGAAAGUGGAAGCAGAAACAUUUUUCAUUCCUUUACCACUGCUAUUUGAAAAGCUCUUUACGUAAUAUCUACUUUCCAGAAUUAUUUAAAAUAUCUAAGUUAUUACUAAUCAAAUAAGCAUCAAAUAAUUAGCCAAAUGUCAAAAUGUCCUUCAUCCUUUUAACAUAUACUUUCAGUUCAUUAUGAUGCAGUAAAGAGCAUAUGUAAGCAAAAAGCUUGAAUCAUGUUUUACUGUUCUGCAGAGGAGAAAAAGAAUCUAUAAUUAUGAGAAUAUGAUAAUACAACAAAUGUUUAAGAUGGACAUCAAUCAUAGCUGUUAGGAAAGUCAGGAGUUUGUGGCACUUCCUGGUGUAAUUAUAUGGAUAUGAGUAUUCUGGAAAAUGACAUUAAAAUCAGAAGAUUUCAUUUGUGUGAAGCGAUGUAAGCUUUUGGGUCAUUCCAGAAUUCAAGGACAUUUUACGUCCUACCCAUCUGUAGCGUAACCACUAAACUAGUUACGUUUGCACUCGUUAAUAAAGGGGCACCAUCCUCAGUUUGUCUGAAGAAGUUAUUAAUUUAAACAAAAUCUCAAGGAGACUCUGAUUAAAAUUAAGUUGAUCAGUCUGAUGUCUGAAAGUCUAGAAUUCUGAUUAAAUUGACCUCAGUUCCCACACAAAGAAAUGCACGAGACCGUGAAUUGGUCUAAAUGAAAAACAUUUAUUAACUAUUCUACUAAGACAAUACAGGUGAGCUAUAUACAGUGAGAAAUGUGAUGUGGGUGGGCGUACGUGCAUACGUGUGUACGUGUGUGUGUGUGUGUGUGUUGAAUGUGUGGAAUCAAAUUAACAUAUUAAAGGAGGAGAACUAUGGUGAAAGGAGGCCAGAUAGCAGACGAUUUAACACACUGAAUUGGUAAUUUGGACUACGAUCAAUACACUAAAGAGUGGCUAAAUUUAAAUCAAGUUAUUGAUUUCAACCCAAAUCAGGAACAGAUAAAGAUUAGCGUUUUCCUACAUUUGUGUAGCGCUGUGCAGGUUGGAGCCACCGUUUGGCUGGAACCCAGUGGAAGGCCGGAAACAUCCUCACGAUGCACCCAGGCUUUCUCUUCCCGAAGCGUUGUGUGGUCGCUAGGCAACAAGUUCUGCCGUUGGAGUUCUCAGCGCAGUCUUUCAGGGUUGAAUGAAAAAUAAUUUGUUUAACAGUGGCUCUCAUUCUGUUUUCAGUUGGCGAAAGAACGGAGAUGAGGCAUCAGAGCAGCUGCAUAAAAGAAGUGUUCAGGACGAGGGGAAGAAGUAGGUGCGGAGGAGAAAAGAAGAGCCGGAUGAAAGGCGUUGUCCGGCCUUUUAUCGUGAAACAUAGCUUUGGGCAUGGAAAGGAAUUUCUCGUGACUUUUAGUAAUCUGAUUACUCUCUUUUUGUUCUCAGACGGAGGGAAAACGGCAUUUGUUAAACCAAAUUAAAACAUAUACGCGCAA